UAAUAAUGAUUGAUUGUUUAAUUCAUGAUUGUAUAAGGGCAAUCACAUACAUGCAAGGAUCAAGGAUGCAUUUGUUCAUCAAUUCAGGGAAUCAUUACAAGCAGGCAACAUCUAUUACAUAAAGAAUUUUGGUGUUAUUCCUUACCAGAAUGAUUACAAAAUAGUCACCAAUGAACAUAUGAUCAAGUUCUAUGCAACAACAAUAGUUAAACCAGCAGGAUCAGACCAUCCUUCAAUCCCAAAAUAUAAAUUUGAAUUUGUUCCAUUUGAACAUUUGAGUGGUCGGUGUGACAAAAAUGUCCAAUCCAAACAACAUUUUCACUACAAAACAAAAUUUCACAGCCAUUCACGUGUUUGAAGAUCAUGAGUAUAAGCAGUUGCAACAUGAACAGGAGGAGAAAAAUCAGAUUCUUCCCCUGAAACGAGCCAUUGAUGUGGAUUUUGAGAUUGAAAGAGAAGUUCCUAAAGCUAAAAGAAAUGGAAAGUUGACUGAGUCUGAGGCAAGUGCUAAUGAAGAAGAGGAUGUUGAUGACAAAAACGAAGAAAAAGAAAAAUGAUGUAGAGAAAGAAGAAUCUAAUUUGGAUGAAAGAAACGUCACAUUUUUUUUUUUCUUCUUUUUGAACCCGAAACGAUAGAAACUUUUAUUUGAACUAAACCAAGUAUAAAAAGUAAGGCUAGACCGAAUCAUCUAGCACUGGGGGGACAUCAGCGAAACAUGCUGUGAUGUCCCAACUGAAAACCGAUAUACAUACUAUCAUGCAAGUGAGUCCCAACUCCCACACUAGUUACCAGACCCAGCUAUAGCCGUUGCGCAGCUUUUAAGCCUUGAUAUUCCUCAAGCAAUCCUGUUGCACUUUCAAAAAUCACCUUCAGAUGAAGCUGGACUGAGCAAGUGACCUGUAGAAAAGUUCCUUGAUCCUCAUACCACAAAUGCUUUCUUCUACAAGAUUCCAAUUCUGUAGGGCUAAGCAGAGAGACCAAUUAUUUUUGACUUUCCUCAGUUGGUGGGGUUACAUCAUACAUGAACGCUUUGCAACCACUAGCAAAAAGCAAGGCAGAAAACUCUUUAAUCAUUUCUUCUUCAUUUGAUUUUCAACAUGCAAGGAAGUAAUAUGUUUUUACCAUUUAUUUGUUUUUUUAAUGAAUAGUUCUUUUACUUUUAUAAUUUCUUUUGAAUAAAUA